rnacentral:rRNA from 1 species
GGGGGAUAUUGCGCAAUGGGGGCAACCCUGACGCAGCAACGCCGCGUGAAGGAUGAAGGUUUUCGGAUUGUAAACUUCUUUUAUUAAGGACGAAAAAUGACGGUACUUAAUGAAUAAGCUCCGGCUAACUACGUGCCAGCAGCCGCGGUAAUACGUAGGGAGCAAGCGUUGUCCGGAUUUACUGGGUGUAAAGGGUGCGUAGGCGGCUUUGCAAGUCAGAUGUGAAAUCUAUGGGCUCAACCCAUAAACUGCAUUUGAAACUGUAGAGCUUGAGUGAAGUAGAGGCAGGCGGAAUUCCCCGUGUAGCGGUGAGAUGCGUAGAGAUGGGGAGGAACACCAGUGGCGAAGGCGGCCUGCUGGGCUUUAACUGACGCUGAGGCACGAAAGCGUGGGUAGCAAACAGGAUUAGAUACCCUGGUAGUCCACGCUGUAAACGAUGAUUACUAGGUGUGGGGGGUCUGACCCCUUCCGUGCCGGAGUUAACACAAUAAGUAAUCCACCUGGGGAGUACGGCCGCAAGGUUGAAACUCAAAGGAAUUGACGGGGGCCCGCACAAGCAGUGGAGUAUGUGGUUUAAUUCGAAGCAACGCGAAGAACCUUACCAGGUCUUGACAUCCAACUAACGAAGUAGAGAUACAUUAGGUGCCCUUCGGGGAAAGUUGAGACAGGUGGUGCAUGGUUGUCGUCAGCUCGUGUCGUGAGAUGUUGGGUUAAGUCCCGCAACGAGCGCAACCCUUGCUAUUAGUUGCUACGCAAGAGCACUCUAAUAGGACUGCCGUUGACAAAACGGAGGAAGGUGGGGACGACGUCAAAUCAUCAUGCCCCUUAUGACCUGGGCUACACACGUACUACAAUGGAUGUUAACAGAGGGAAGCAAGACAGCGAUGUGGAGCAAACCCCUAAAAACAUUCUCAGUUCAGAUUGCAGGCUGCAACCCGCCUGCAUGAAGAUGGAAUUGCUAGUAAUCGCGGAUCAGCAUGCCGCGGUGAAUACGUUCCCG